rnacentral:piRNA from 1 species
UACAGCUUCUCUGUCAUCUGC